rnacentral:rRNA from 1 species
UACGUAGGUGACUAGCGUUGUCCGGAUUUACUGGGCGUAAAGAGCGCGCAGGCGGUCGUUCAAGUCGAGUGUGAAAGCCCCCGGCUCAACUGGGGAGGGUCAUUCGAUACUGAUCGACUCGAAGGCAGGAGAGGGAAGCGGAAUUCCCGGUGUAGUGGUGAAAUGCGUAGAUAUCGGGAGGAACACCAGUGGCGAAGGCGGCUUCCUGGCCUGUUUCUUGACGCUGAGGCGCGAAAAGCUAGGGGGAAGCAAACGGGG